rnacentral:rRNA from 1 species
UACAGAGGUCCCAAGCGUUGUUCGGAUUCACUGGGCGUAAAGGGUGCGUAGGCGGCCGGGUAAGUCUGAUGUGAAAUCCCGCAGCUCAACUGCGGAACUGCAUCGGAUACUCUCCGGCUAGAGGAAUGGAGGGGAGACUGGAAUUCUCGGUGUAGCAGUGAAAUGCGUAGAUAUCGAGAGGAACACCAGUGGCGAAGGCGAGUCUCUGGACAUUUCCUAACGCUGAGGCACGAAAGCCAGGGGAGCAAACAGG